UCUUGAAAAGUCCAGUGGUUAGGAUAGGGCCUCUCACACACUCAGCCGGGGGUUGAUUCCCCGUUGGGGAA